AGCCGACUCCCGCGUGUGCGAUA
rnacentral:siRNA from 1 species